CAGCGCGGGCUUCGGCCUGGCGGCGAGUGGCGAACGGGUGAGUAAUACAUCGGAACGUGCCCUGUCGUGGGCGAUUACUAGUCGAAAGAUUAGCUAAUACCGCAUACGACCCGAGUGUGAAAGCGGGGGACCGUAAGGCCUCGCGCGAUAGGAGCGGCCGAUGUCUGAUUAGCUAGUUGGUGGGGUAAGAGCCUACCAAGGCGACGAUCAGUAGCUGGUCUGAGAGGACGAUCAGCCACACUGGGACUGAGACACGGCCCAGACUCCUACGGGAGGCAGCAGUGGGGAAUUUUGGACAAUGGGGGCAACCCUGAUCCAGCAAUGCCGCGUGUGUGAAGAAGGCCUUCGGGUUGUAAAGCACUUUUGUCCGGAAAGAAAUGGCGCUGGUUAAUACCUGGCGUCGAUGACGGUACCGGAAGAAUAAGCACCGGCUAACUACGUGCCAGCAGCCGCGGUAAUACGUAGGGUGCGAGCGUUAAUCGGAAUUACUGGGCGUAAAGCGUGCGCAGGCGGUUUGAUAAGACAGGCGUGAAAUCCCCGAGCUCAACUUGGGAAUGGCGCUUGUGACUGUCAGGCUAGA
rnacentral:rRNA from 1 species